GCUGUUAAUCAUGACUAAUUGAGAGCAGAGGAAAAAAAAAUGUCACUUGUAGAGGGAAAGCAGUAUUUCAGAAUUCCUGUAAACAAAGCUUUGGCUAAAAGAUUGAAUAGAAAGAGCAAAAAUGAGAAAGAAGGUGUUUUGGGCCUGGCCCCCAACGAUAUUAAACUAUUGUAACUGUUUUGAAUUGAGCUGGAAUGGCUAGAUUGAAGAAGAUUGAAAAAGAAAGCUUGAAAGUUUGUCCUGUGAAGGCAUUAGAACCUCCUGGAAGAUGCCAAAAUAUCUUUGAGUAUAGAUGUCUCCAGGAUGUUAGUGCCAAGGCUCCAGAGAACUCUCCACUGCAUCAGCCUUUAGCUUGAAUGCCUGCUGUCAACUCCCGUGGACACCAUCACAGAUCUUAGGACUCAUCUAUUUAACAUGGGAUCCGUGCCCGGGACCAAGACACUGAUUUGUCUAUAAACUUCCAGUGCUGUGACAUGGCAGCAACCCUCAGGCAACAGAAGCAUGAAAGGGCUCAAGCAGAACCAAACCCAGGUUUGGGGCUGAAGACACAUGUGGAACUGGUUCUGACAUGUUCCUGGAGAAAGCAGAAGUUCAAAAAGAAUCGGGAAGAAAGAGCUAAAAGAAGGGAGAAGAAAAUAUAUAAAUACACAGAAACUAAAAAGAGAGAGCUUAUUGUGACCUUUCCCAUAGGAGCUCAUAGCAGUUGGCUGCAUGCAUUUAUGAAGUCAGGAAAAGGGAAUCAAAGAUCUAUGUGCGUGUGAAGGUUCAGUGAAGGAAGCCCUUGCUGAGUAAGGUCAAGUAAAAUUUACUUAGUUCCUAGGUAUGUUGACUUGUAGAUGAGUAUCUGAAUGAGUGAGUCAAAUAGACAGUAAAUUUUCUGAACACAAUUUCCACCCUCCUUUAUAUCAAUUUACUGUAUAAUAAACCCUGCUGUAAAAU
rnacentral:lncRNA from 1 species